GUGAGGAAUUUUCCGCAAUGGGCGAAAGCCUGACGGAGAAAUGCCGCGUGAAGGAUGAAGGCCUAUGGGUUGUAAACUUCUGUUCUCAGAAAAGAAUUAUGACGGUAUCUGAGGAAUAAGCAUCGGCUAACUCUGUGCCAGCAGCCGCGGUAAGACAGAGGAUGCAAGCGUUAUCCGGAAUGAUUGGGCGUAAAGCGUCUGUAGGUUGUUUAAAAAGUAUUCUGUCAAAGAUUAGGGCUUAACCCUAGAUAGGCAGAAUAAACUUUUAAGCUAGAGUUUGGUAGAGGCAGAGGGAAUUCCCGGUGGAGCGGUGAAAUGCGUAGAUAUCGGGAGGAACACCAAAGGCGAAGGCACUCUGCUGGGCCAAUACUAACACUGAGAGACGAAAGCGAGGGGAGCAAAUGGGAUUAGAAACCCUAGUAGUCC
rnacentral:rRNA from 1 species